AUUGAACGCUGGCGGCAUGCCUUACACAUGCAAGCCGAACGGCAGCACGGGAGCAAUCCUGGUGGCGAGUGGCGAACGGGUGAGUAAAGUAUCGGAACGUGCCCAGUCGUGGGGGAUAACGUAGCGAAAGUUACGCUAAUACCGCAUACGAUCUAUGGAUGAAAGCGGGGGAUCGCAAGACCUCGCGCGAUUGGAGCGGCCGAUAUCAGAUUAGGUAGUUGGUGGGGUAAAGGCUCACCAAGCCGACGAUCUGUAGCUGGUCUGAGAGGACGACCAGCCACACUGGGACUGAGACACGGCCCAGACUCCUACGGGAGGCAGCAGUGGGGAAUUUUGGACAAUGGGCGAAAGCCUGAUCCAGCCAUGCCGCGUGCAGGAUGAAGGCCUUCGGGUUGUAAACUGCUUUUGUACGGAACGAAAAGGUUUGGCCUAAUAAGCUGAGCUCAUGACGGUACCGUAAGAAUAAGCACCGGCUAACUACGUGCCAGCAGCAGCCGCGG
rnacentral:rRNA from 1 species